rnacentral:tRNA from 1 species
GGGCGGAUAGCUCAGUUGGUUAGAGCAUUGCGUUGACAUCGCAAAGGUCGUAGGUUCGAGUCCUAUUCCGCCCACCA